CUUACACAUGCAAGUCGAACGAGAAAGCCGAAAGCUUGCUUUUGGCGAGUAGAGUGGCGCACGGGUGAGUAACGCGUGGGUAAUCUGCCUUCGAACCGGGGAUAACACUUCGAAAGGGGUGCUAAUACCGGAUGACAUCCAGGUGUCUUCGGGCGCUUGGAUCAAAGAUGGCCUCUCCAUGGAAGCUGUUGUUCGAAGAUGAGCCCGCGUCCCAUUAGCUUGUUGGUGGGGUAAAGGCCCACCAAGGCGACGAUGGGUAGCUGGUCUGAGAGGAUGAUCAGCCACACUGGCACUGACACACGGGCCAGACUCCUACGGGAGGCAGCAGUGAGGAAUUUUGCGCAAUGGGGGUAACCCUGACGCAGCAACGCCGCGUGAGUGAAGAAGGCCUUCGGGUCGUAAAGCUCUGUCGAGUGGGAAGAACCCGCAUCAGGUGACAAGGCUGAUGCGCUGACGGUACCACUGGAGGAAGCACCGGCUAACUCCGUGCCAGCAGCCGCGGUAAUACGGAGGGUGCAAGCGUUAUUCGGAAUUACUGGGCGUAAAGGGCGCGCAGGCGGCCUGGUAAGUCAGUAGUGAAAGCCCGGGGCUCAACCCCGGAAGUGCUGCUGAAACUGUUGGGCUUGAGUAUGGUAGAGGGAAGCGGAAUUCCUGGUGUAGCGGUGAAAUGCGUAGAUAUCAGGAGGAACACCGGUGGCGAAGGCGGCUUCCCUGGACCAAUACUGACGCUGAGGCGCGAAGGCGUGGGUAAGCAAACAGGAUUAGAUACCAUGGUAGUCCACGCAGUAAGCGGUGAUCACUAGCUAUUGCGGGUAAUUGAUACUUGCAGUCCCGGAGCUAACGCAUUAAGGUGAUCCGCCUGGGGAGUUACGUCCGCAAGGUUGAUACUCAUAGGAAUUGACGGGGGCCCAGAACAAGCGGUGGAGCAUGUGGUUUAAUUCGACGCAAACGCGAAGAACCUUACCUGGGUUUGACAUCUGGGGGAUCCCAUGGAUACAUGGGGGUGCCCUUCGGGGAGCCCCAAGACAGGUGCUGCAUGGCAGUCGUCAGCUCGUGUCGUGAGAUGUUGGGUUAAGUCCCGCUACGAGCGCGAGCCCUGUCUUCAGUUACCAGCGAUUCGGUCGGGGACUCUGAAGAUGCUGACCCGGCCAACGGGGACGAAGAUGAAGAUGACGUCAAGUCCUCAUGGCCAUGACGCCCAGGCCUACACACUUACACGAUUACACAGGUACAGAAGGUAGCGAGAUCGCGAGAUGGAGCCAAUCCCAAAAAGCCGUCCUCAGUUCGGAUUGGAGUCUGCAACUCGACUCCAUGAAGUUGGAAUCGCUAGUAAUCGCGGAUCAGCAUGCCGCGGUGAAUACGUUCCCGGGCAUUGUACACACCGCCCGUCACACCAUGAGAGUUGGCUAUACCCGAAGUCGCCGGCCCAACCUGUAUGGGGGGG
rnacentral:rRNA from 1 species